rnacentral:lncRNA from 1 species
UGGGAAAGUAAUUUUGAAGAGCAAAUAUUGCUUUUGUGUUCAGCAGAGACGAUUGAGAGCGAUGUGGACAAGAUCUAAUAAUCAGUCCAUCUCAUCCGUCUACCUCAUCCGUCUACAAGAACUGAGGCACAUCCACUCUUAUUGCCUACAGAAGUAAAAAAUCACUAUAAUUUACAUCCACUCUUUGUAUUUAAUAUCACUCUUACUGCCUCAGUACUCAUUCUAGGCUAAAUUACUAACACAACAAAUCACUAUAAACACGAAUCACUAACACGAAAUUACAUCAUAUCAUGUAAUUACUACUAAAUCAGUAACAACAAAUCACAUCAUAUCAAACACGAAAUCACUAACACAACAAAUCACUAUAAAUUAGUAGACAAAUCAGUAAAAAUACAAAUCACAAGUAGUAAGCACUAAAGCCACCAUGUAAUUACUACUAAAUCAUCAUAAAGUGACAGCUUCAUAAACAUAAACAUAAGAUGAGCUAUGUAUACAGAGUGAAACAUAAUCACAUAGAGAGAGGGAGGGAGGGAGAGGGAGAUUGCUUAUGUAAAGCUCAAUUAAACACCUCACUCAAUUCAUCACCAUGUAAUUACUACUAAAUUCAUAAACAUAAACAUAAACAGAGCUAUGUAUAGAGAGAGAAACAUAAACAGUGAGAGAGAGAGAGAAACAUAAACAGAGAGAGAUUGCUUAUGCAAAGCUCAGUUAAACACCUCACUCAAUUCAUCACUGAAAUCCACCAAAAAAUCAAAAAAAAGACACAAACUUGUCACUCAAUUGAACAUAACGAUACAUAUAGAUGAAAUUUGAGAAAGAAAACAAGAAAGAUAUAAACACAGCUAUGUAUAGAUGAUUACUGUACCUCACAAAGCCUGACCUCCACAAUCAAGUGCGGAAAAUAUCAGAUCAUCCACGAGUUAAC